CACUUGGAAGAAAGGCAAACGUUCAAAGCGACUACGGACCGACUCCCCUACUACCCCCACCACCGAAGAAGAGUAUCUUGCUCUCUGCCUCAUCAUGCUAGCUCGUGGCUCCCCCCAGGGCGCUGCUCAUCAUCAUCCUCACUCUUCCUCCUCAUCUGCUCAUCCUCUUCAUUUGAACUUGUCAUACAAGUGCAGCGUCUGCAACAAGGCUUUCCCGUCUUAUCAAGCUCUGGGUGGGCACAAAGCCAGCCACCGUAAACCCUCCACCGCCCAAAACCCAUCUAUAACCUCUGAAACCAACGCCGCCGGCAGUAGCGGGAGGGGUAGGUCCCAUGAGUGUUCUAUCUGCCACAAGUCUUUCCCUACGGGACAAGCCUUGGGAGGCCACAAACGCUGCCACUACGAAGGUGGCAACAACAACAGCAGCAGUUACAAAAGCGGUAGCGUGAGUGGGGUGACGUUGUCAGACGGCGGCGCGUUGAGCCAAAGCCACCGUCUCAACUUUGACUUUGACCUAAACAUGCCCGCUUGUGUGGAAAAUGAAGACGGAAGAUUUGGUCAAAUCUAUGCAGAACAAGAGGUGGAAAGUCCAU
rnacentral:lncRNA from 1 species